AGCGUAGGCGGACUUUUAAGUGGGAUGUGAAAUACCCGGGCUCAACCUGGGUGCUGCAUUCCAAACUGGAAGUCUAGAGUGCGGGAGAGGAGAGUGGAAUUCCUAGUGUAGCGGUGAAAUGCGUAGAGAUUAGGAAGAACACCAGUGGCGAAGGCGACUCUCUGGACCGUAACUGACGCUGAGGCUCGAAAGCGUGGGGAGCAAACAGGAUUAGAUACCCCCGUA
rnacentral:rRNA from 1 species